rnacentral:rRNA from 1 species
UGGAUCCAGACUUUGAUUAUGGCUCAGGAUGAACGCUAGCUACAGGCUUAACACAUGCAAGUCGAGGGGAAACGAUAGGAAAAGCUUGCUUUUUCUAGGCGUCGACCGGCGCACGGGUGAGUAACGCGUAUCCAACCUGCCCAUCACUUGGGGAUAACCUUGCGAAAGUAAGACUAAUACCCAAUGAUAUCUCUAGAAGACAUCUGAAGGAGAUUAAAGAUUUAUCGGUGAUGGAUGGGGAUGCGUCUGAUUAGCUUGUUGGCGGGGUAACGGCCCACCAAGGCAACGAUCAGUAGGGGUUCUGAGAGGAAGGUCCCCCACAUUGGAACUGAGACACGGUCCAAACUCCUACGGGAGGCAGCAGUGAGGAAUAUUGGUCAAUGGACGAGAGUCUGAACCAGCCAAGUAGCGUGCAGGAUGACGGCCCUAUGGGUUGUAAACUGCUUUUAUAAGGGAAUAAAGUGAGUCUCGUGAGACUUUUUGCAUGUACCUUAUGAAUAAGGACCGGCUAAUUCCGUGCCAGCAGCCGCGGUAAUACGGAAGGUCCGGGCGUUAUCCGGAUUUAUUGGGUUUAAAGGGAGCGUAGGCCGGAGAUUAAGCGUGUCGUGAAAUGUAGACGCUCAACGUCUGCACUGCAGCGCGAACUGGUUUCCUUGAGUACGCACAAAGUGGGCGGAAUUCGUGGUGUAGCGGUGAAAUGCUUAGAUAUCACGAAGAACUCCGAUUGCGAAGGCAGCUCACUGGAGCGCAACUGACGCUGAAGCUCGAAAGUGCGGGUAUCGAACAGGAUUAGAUACCCUGGUAGUCCGCACGGUAAACGAUGGAUGCCCGCUGUUGGUCUGAAUAGGUCAGCGGCCAAGCGAAAGCAUUAAGCAUCCCACCUGGGGAGUACGCCGGCAACGGUGCAACUCAAAUGAAUUGACGGA